rnacentral:piRNA from 1 species
UAAUGUGGUUGGGGGGUAGGGGGGCACA